rnacentral:rRNA from 1 species
CCCGCAUUGUUAUUACAAAACUAAAGAUUAAGUCGGUAACGGAGUGGGGAUGCGUGACAUUAGAUAGUAGGCGGGGUAAUGGCCCACCUAGUCUACGAUGUCUAGGGGUUCUGAGAGGAAGGUCCCCCACACUGGAACUGAGACACGGUCCAGACUCCUACGGGAGGCAGCAGUGAGGAAUAUUGGUCAAUGGUCGGAAGACUGAACCAGCCAAGUAGCGUGAAGGAUGAAGGUUCUAUGGAUUGUAAACUUCUUUUAUACGGGAAUAAAACGUCCCACGUGUGGGAUCUUGUAUGUACCGUAUGAAUAAGCAUCGGCUAACUCCGUG